rnacentral:rRNA from 1 species
AAGUAAAAGUCGUAACAAGGUUUCCGUAGGUGAACCUGCGGAAGGAUCAUUAUUGAAGCAUUGAAUCGUAGCAUUGAGAACUGUUGCUGGCGCUUUGUAUGUGCACGUUCAAUCUGUUGCGUUUCUCUUCUAUUCAAUUCCACUUGUGCACGUUUGUAGACUUGGUCAAUGUUUCAUGUUAGCGCUGGCGUGGUUAGAAGGGUUUGCUUUUGAAGCUCCCUUUGUGUUACCAAGUCUAUGUUGUAUAUGUUCUCUUGUAUGUGUAUUGAAUGUGUUAGUUAUUGGACUGGCGUCCAAUAAUGGUUAAUACAACUUUCAACAACGGAUCUCUUGGCUCUCGCAUCGAUGAAGAACGCAGCGAAAUGCGAUAACUAAUGUGAAUUGCAGAAUUCAGUGAAUCAUCGAGUCUUUGAACGCACCUUGCGCCCUUUGGUAUUCCAAAGGGCAUGCCUGUUUGAGUGUCAUUAAAUUCUCAANCUCCCUUUGUUUCUGACUGAGGGUGGAUUGGAUAGUGGGGGCUUGCUGGAUUCUUAACGAGAUCAGCUCCUCUGAAAUGCAUUAGCAGAAACCGUUUGACGUUGGCUUGCUAGGCUGUGAUAAUAUCUACGGUUUUGCAAGUCAGGUUGAAAUACAAGUCUUAGAAUUGGGUUGCAUGUUGCUUAGUAUCGGUUUAGAGGGAGCUUUAAUGCUCCUUCUGGUUUCUCUCUAGGCCUAUGAGAUUUCGAACUUUGCUUUCGUUGACUUUGUAGAAGGCUUUCAGCUUCUAACUGGCAAUUUAUUGACUGUUGACCUCAAAUCAGGUAGGAUUACCCGCUGAACUUAAGCAUAUCAAUAAGCGGAGGAAAAGAAACUAACAAGGAUUCCCUUAGUAACUGCGAGUGAAGAGGGAAAAGCUCAAAUUUAAAAUCUGGCAGGUUUGCUGUCCGAGUUGUAAUUUAGAGAAGUGUUACCCGCGUUGGACCGUGUACAAGUCUCCUGGAAUGGAGCAUCAUAGAGGGUGAGAAUCCCGUCUUUGACAUGGACUACCAAGGCAUUGUGGUAUGCUCUCAAAGAGUCGAGUUGUUUGGGAAUGCAGCUCUAAAUGGGUGGUAAAUUCCAUCUAAAGCUAAAUAUUGGCGAGAGACCGAUAGCAAACAAGUACCGUGAGGGAAAGAUGAAAAGAACUUUGGAAAGAGAGUUAAACAGUACGUGAAAUUGUUGAAAGGGAAACGCUUAAAGUCCAGUCACGUCGGUUAGGAAUCAACCUUGGUUGUUAAUUUUCCUUGGUGCACUUCCUAGUCGAUGGGUCAACAUGAGUUUUGACCAUUGGAUAAAAGCCUUAGGAAUGUGGCACUGUUUCGUGCGUUAUAGCCUUUGGUUGUAUACAGUGGUUGGGACUGAGGAACUCAGCACGCCUUUUGGCCGGGUACUCGUACCACGUUCGUGCUUAGGAUGUUGGCAUAAUGGCUUUAAUCGACCCGUCUUGAAACACGGACCAAGGAGUCUAACAUGCCUGCAAGUGUUUGGGUGUUGAAACCCUUGCGCGUAAUGAAAGUGAAAGUUGAGAACUCAUUAGAGUGCAUCGACGCCCGGAGCUGAUCUUUUGUGAAGCAUCCGCGGUAGAGCAUGUAUGUUGGGACCCGAAAGAUGGUGAACUAUGCCUGAAUAGGGUGAAGCCAGAGGAAACUCUGGUGGAGGCUCGUAGCGAUUCU